UCACUACUUGCGUAGGCAGUCUCCUUAGAGUGCCCAACAUUACUUGCUGGCAACUAAGGACGAGGGUUGCGCUCGUUGCGGGACUUAACCCAACACCUCACGGCACGAGCUGACGACAGCCAUGCAGCACCUGUACAAGUUCCCCUUGCGGGACAAUGGCUUUCACCAAAUUUAACUUGCGUUUCAAGCCUAGGUAAGGUUCUUCGCGUUGCAUCGAAUUAAACCACAUGCUCCACUGCUUGUGCGGGCCCCCGUCAAUUCCUUUGAGUUUCAACCUUGCGAUCGUACUUCCCAGGUGGAGAACUUAAUGCGUUAGCUAAGUCACUGAUCCUUAAAAGGACCAACAACUAGUUCUCAUCGUUUAGGGUGUGGACUAC
rnacentral:misc_RNA from 1 species